rnacentral:rRNA from 1 species
CCCGCUCAAGAAACUUAAAGGAAGUUGACGGGGGCCCGCGACAAGCGGUGAGCAUGUGGUUAAUUCGAUGAUACGCGAGGAACCUUACCUGGGCUCAAAUGUAUGUUGACGUAUCUGAAAGGGAUACUUCUUCGGACAAUAUACAAGGUGCUGCAUGGUUGUCGUCAGCUCGUGCCGUGAGGUGUCGGGUUAAGUCCCGCAACGAGCGCAACCCCUAUCAUCUGUUGCCAGCAUUUAAGGUGGGGACUCAGAUGAGACUGCCGGUGACAAACCGGAGGAAGGUGGGGACGACGUCAAGUCAUCAUGGCCCUUAUGUCCUGGGCUACACACGUGCUACAAUGGCCGGUACAGAGUGAAGCGAAACCGCGAGGUGAAGCAAAACGCAGAAAGCCGGUCUCAGUACGGAUUGGAGUCUGAAACUCGACUUCAUGAAGUUGGAAUCGCUAGUAAUCGCGCAUCAGCAUGGCGCGGUGAAUACGUUCCCGGGCCUU